rnacentral:rRNA from 1 species
AGCUCCAAUAGCGUAUACUAAAGUUGUUGCAGUUAAAAAGCUCGUAGUCGAAUUCGGGUUGUAGUUUGCGAUUUUCUAUUGGUUUUAUACUUCUGGAAGGUGUGCAAACGACACCCAUCAUGUCAUUUUAGAUUUGAUUUUUAUUUUACUAUAGAAAUUAAAUUAUUUAAAAUGCCAUUUUUUACUGUGAACAAAAUAGAGUGUUCAUGGCAGGCCAUUUUGGCUUAUAUACCUCAGCAUGGAAUAAUAGAAUAGGACUUCUGGUUCUAUUUUAUUGGUUUUUAGAGCCGAAGUAAUGAUUAAUAGGGAUAGUUGGGGGCACCCGUACUCCGUUGUCAGAGGUGAAAUUCUUGGAUUUACGGAAGACGAACAACUGCGAAAGCAUCUGCCAAGGAUGUUUUCAUUG